rnacentral:rRNA from 1 species
UCAGAUUGCAGGCUGCAACCCGCCUGCAUGAAGUCGGAAUUGCUAGUAAUCGCGGAUCAGCAUGCCGCGGUGAAUACGUUCCCGGGCCUUGUACACACCGCCCGUCACACCAUGGGAGCCGGUAAUACCCGAAGUCAGUAGUCCAACCACGUGAGGACGCUGCCGAAGGUAGGAUUGGCGACUGGGGUGAAGUCGUAACAAGGUAAC